rnacentral:rRNA from 1 species
AACGAACGCUGGCGGCAGGCCUAACACAUGCAAGUCGAGCGCGCCCUUCGGGGUGAGCGGCGGACGGGUGAGUAACGCGUGGGAACGUGCCCUUCUCUGCGGAAUAGCCUCGGGAAACUGAGAGUAAUACCGCAUACGCCCUUUGGGGGAAAGAUUUAUCGGAGAAGGAUCGGCCCGCGUUGGAUUAGGUAGUUGGUGGGGUAAUGGCCCACCAAGCCGACGAUCCAUAGCUGGUUUGAGAGGAUGAUCAGCCACACUGGGACUGAGACACGGCCCAGACUCCUACGGGAGGCAGCAGUGGGGAAUCUUAGACAAUGGGGGCAACCCUGAUCUAGCCAUGCCGCGUGAGUGAUGAAGGCCUUAGGUUUGUAAAGCUCUUUCAGCGGGGAAGAUAAUGACGGUACCAGCAGAAGAAGCCCCGGCUAACUCCGU